rnacentral:rRNA from 1 species
GACAUAGGUGGCGAACGUUAUCCGGAAUUAUUGGGCGUAAAGGAUGCGUAGAUGGUAGAAUAAGUUACUGGUCGAUGCCAAACUCAAUUUGACGGAAGCUGGUAAUACUGUUCUGCUCGAGGGCGGGAGAGGUUGAUGGAAUUCUGUGUGGAGCGGUGAAAUGCGUUGAUCUACAGAGGAACACCAAAAAAGGCAAAGGCAGGUCAACUAUUCUGUUCCUGACAUUGAGGCAUGAAAGCGUGGGGAGCAAACCGG